AGUAAUAUGCCUGAUAAAAGGACUAUUUUGAUGAAAUAUAUAUGUAAAAUUCUUACUAUUACUA
rnacentral:tRNA from 1 species